AAUGAACGUUGGCGGCGUGGAUUAGGCAUGCAAGUCGAGCGAUGAAACCGUGCUUGCACGGUGGAUUAGCGGCGAAAGGGAGAGUAACGCGUAGGUAUGUGCCCUCAGGUCCGGGAUAGCGGUGGGAAACCGCCGGUAAUACCGGAUAAUGUGUCAGCACCAAAGGUGUGAUUCCGCCUGAGGAGCGGCCUGCGUCCUAUUAGGUUGUUGGUGGGGUAAUGGCCUACCAAGCCGAAGAUGGGUACCGGGUGUGAGAGCAUGGCCCGGCUCACUGGGACUGAGACACUGCCCAGACACCUACGGGUGGCUGCAGUCGAGAAUCUUCCGCAAUGGACGAAAGUCUGACGGAGCGACGCCGCGUGCGGGAUGAAGGCCUUCGGG
rnacentral:rRNA from 1 species